UACGGAGGAUGCGAGCGUUAUCCGGAUUUAUUGGGUUUAAAGGGUGCGUAGGCGGAAUGGUAAGUCAGUGGUGAAAUCCUGCAGCUCAACUGUAGUUGUGCCAUUGAUACUGUCAUUCUUGAGUACAGAUGAGGUAGGCGGAAUGAGUAGUGUAGCGGUGAAAUGCAUAGAUAUUACUCAGAACACCAAUUGCGAAGGCAGCUUACUAAACUGACACUGACGCUGAAGCACGAAAGCGUGGGUAUCAAACAGGAUUAGAUACCCUGGUAGUCCACGCCGUAAACGAUGAUUACUGGUUGUUUGCGAUACACAGCAAGCGACUGAGCGAAAGCAUUAAGUAAUCCACCUGGGGAGUACGUCGGCAACGAUGAA
rnacentral:rRNA from 1 species